rnacentral:rRNA from 1 species
UGAGAUGUUGGGUUAAGUCCCGCAACGAGCGCAACCCCUGUUAUUAGUUGCCACUCCGCAAGGAAGCACUCUAAUGAGACUGCCAGUGUUUAACUGGAGGAAGGUGGGGACGACGUCAAGUCAGUACGGCCCUUAUGUCCUGGGCAACACACGUGCUACAAUCCCCGCUACAAAGAGCAGCGAUACCGUAAGGUGGAGCAAAUCUCAAAAAAGCGGGGCCAGUUCAGAUUGAGGGCUGCAAUUCGCCCUCAUGAAGCCGGAAUCGCUAGUAAUCGCGUAUCAGACACGGCGCGAUGAAUACGUUCCCGGGUCUUGUACACAC